rnacentral:misc_RNA from 1 species
UUUUUUUUUUUUUUUUUUUUCGGUGUGUGUGUGAAAUAUGUUUUAUGUACCGGAAGAUUUUAAAUCACAUUUGAGGUCAGAAAUGCCACGCCCAACCAUGACAAAAGCUGCUUAUGUUGCUUUUAGAUAUUGAGGAGAAGAGGGAUUGAGUCCAUUAAUGAUAAUAGUUUAACCUUCUAGGGAAUUAAAGAAUUACUUCGAGUUGGUGUGCUCAGCCUGCUAUCUGUUUGUAAUACUUCCUGUAUAUUAUUAUUCAUGAUCCAAAUGGCACUUUGCUUCACAUCUUUGGGUUAGAAUAGGAGUUUUGUGUAUGUUUAGGUCAUUCAAAUAGUAAUCUGAACUCUUCCUUUUUUUUUCUUUUUUCGAUAAUCAUCACCAUGUAACAGUGGAAUAAUUAUGAGGAAAUUACUCUUGGCAGAA